rnacentral:rRNA from 1 species
UACGGAGGGUGCAAGCGUUAUCCGGAUUCACUGGGUUUAAAGGGUGCGUAGGCGGAACUGUAAGUCCGUGGUGAAAUCUCCGAGCUUAACUCGGAAACUGCCGUGGGUACUGUGGUUCUUGAAUGUUGUGGAGGUUUGCGGAAUAUGUCAUGUAGCGGUGAAAUGCUUAGAUAUGACAUAGAACACCGAUUGCGAAGGCAGCAGGCUACACAAAUAUUGACGCUGAGGCACGAAAGCGUGGGGAUCAAACAGG